AACGAACGCUGGCGGCAGGCUUAACACAUGCAAGUCGAACGCAUCCUUCGGGGUGAGUGGCAGACGGGUGAGUAACGCGUGGGAACGUGCCCUUCAGUUCGGGAUAACCCAGGGAAACUUGGGCUAAUACCGGAUACGUGCGAGAGCAGAAAGAUUUAUCGCUGAAGGAUCGGCCCGCGGCUAAUUAGCUAGUUGGUGGGGUAAUGGCCCACCAAGGCGACGAUCAGUAGCUGGUCUGAGAGGAUGAUCAGCCACAUUGGGACUGAGACACGGCCCAAACUCCUACGGGAGGCAGCAGUGGGGAAUAUUGGACAAUGGGCGCAAGCCUGAUCCAGCCAUGCCGCGUGAGUGAUGAAGGCCUUAGGGUUGUAAAGCUCUUUCGUCCGGGACGAUAAUGACGGUACCGGAAGAAGAAGCCCCGGCUAACUUCGUGCCAGCAGCCGCGGUAA
rnacentral:rRNA from 1 species